rnacentral:miRNA from 1 species
CGGUUUAAUGGGAAGGAA